CCGCCUGCCUCUGCCUCCCAAGUGCUGGGAUUAAAGGCGUGCGCCACCACCGCCAGGCUAGGCAAAUACUCUUACUAUUUAGCUACAUGCCCGGUCCAUCCUGACUACUUUGUGUGUGUAUACAUAGUUGUGUGUGUACAUGUAGUUGUUUGCAGAGAAGAGAAAACAACCUUAGGUACUAUUACUCUUGGUCAAAUCCACUUUGUUGUUGUUGUUGUCUUCCAAAAAAAAAAAAAAAAAAAGACCAGCAAGUUCUCGCCGGGCAGUGGUGGCACAAGCCUUUAAUCUCAGCACUUGGGAGGCCGAGUCAGGUGGAUUUCUGAGUUUGAGGCCAGCCUGGUCUAUAGAGUGAGUUCCAGGACAGCCAGGGCUACACAGAGAAACCCUGUCUUCAAAAAAAAAAUCAAAAAAUAAAAAAUAAAAACAAGGUCUCUCAAACGUCGUGGAAGCAGGUGAAUUUGGCUAGGGUGGCUGGCUAACAAGCAUUAAGAAUCCUGUUGGGCUGGAGAAAUGGCUCAGCAGUUAAGAGCACCGACUGCACUUCUGAAGGUCAUGAGUUCAAAUCCCAUAACCAAUGAUGGCUUAGAACCAUCUAUAUUGAGAUCUGAUGCUCUCUUCUGGCGUGUCUGAAGACAGCUACAGUGCACUUACAUAUAAUAAAUAAAUAAAUAAAUAAAUAAAUAAAUAAAUAAAUACAUAAAUCUAAAAAGAAAAAAAAAGAAUUCUCCUGUCACCACCUCCACAGCUACAGUGCACUUACAUAUAAUAAAUAAAUAAAUAAAUAAAUCUAAAAAGAAAAAAAAAGAAUUCUCCUGUCACCACCUCCCCAGCUCUGGAAUUACAAGUGCACAGCCCCACACCUGGUUUGUGAGGUGUGGGCAUCAAGUCCCAGGCUCUCAGGUUUGUAAGACAAGAGCUUUGCCAACAGAGCUAGUUCACCGGCCUCACACUGAUUACUUUUUAUUAGUUUCAGUUUAAUUCCUAUUACACACGCUAAAAGAAGAAGAAGAAAGAGAGUGAGAUAUGGAAAUAGAUGUGUCUUUAAAAAUAGACAGCUCCCUCCCGCAGGAUAAUUAUAGCGAGGAUGAUCCUUAUGUUUCUGUGAGUUAUUGGCACGUAAUAAAGUACCACAACCUUAGUGGCUUCAAACAAUGAUAAUUUAUUUUGUUUAUAAUCCUGCACUAGGGCGGAGCUCAGGAAGGAAGUGUGGUCUCUGCUCCUGGCUAUAUCUGGUCGGGACAGUUCACCUUCAGUCCAGAGAAUCCAAUUCUAAGACGUCUCACUCAGUUACCUGGCAGUGUGUCCUGGGAGCGCAUCCGGGACUGAUGCCUGAAACUUUGCUUCGUCUCCCCGUGACCUGAAUUGCCAUGCAGUACGGUGAACAGACUCUGUGGACGAAAUCUCAGGAAGAACACAAAGGGGGAAGUUGUGUUUACUUUUGUGACUUUGGCACAGAAGCCACUUCUGAACACAGGUUCAGAAGGGGACAUUAGAACUCACCUUUUAAGAUAGAAGGAGGGCCCUGUUUUUGACAGAGCAAAUGCAAUGGAGUUGUGUGGCUCCCAUCUGUGGUAAAUACAACCUGGUGCAUGUUACAGGAAAGAGGUUGGACGGUGGGCCAUUCGAAGUACUAGCGAGCUCCCACUAAGUGGAAUCAAAAUCAUUUAGCUGUCUUCAUCUCAUUGUCCUACUCUGGAGACAUAGCUGUCAAUAGCUUCUGACACUUUCCACGGUUGACAAUGGAGUAAUAAUGCCAUCCAAAUAAAUAGCUUUUAGAUGGCUUCUCACAAUUAAAAGAGGAAUCCGAAUUUUUUUGUUGCAUGCAUGUGUAUACACAUGCUCAUGUGUCAUGGUUUGUGUGUAUGUGUGCAUGUAGGUCAGACGACAACUCACAGGAAUUGGUUCUCUUUUAUCAUGUGGGUUAUGGGGAUUGAACUUAAGGCUUUAGGUUUUGCAACACAUGUCUUUAUCCACUGAACUAUCCUGCCAGCCCAGCAAAACAGUCUCUGAACACUGUUUGCUAUCACAGUAGCUUAAACACAGGUUAUUUUUCUUGCUGCUUGCUCACUUUGGAUAUAAAUAAAAUAAUGUUAAUUUCGGUGAAUAAGGCACCGUUUCUUAGAUUGAUUCAUCUAAAUUAUCGAUUCAGUAACUUCUGUUCCCAGCGUAAACCCAUUUUUAGGAAGGGUACAUGACCUAGUCUAGUCCCCAAAAGAUUCUCACUUCUGGUUUUGGUAGUGCAUUUCAGGAUGGGACAUGAGUAAAUUUCAACUCACCAUAUCAACUCCUCCAUUGUCUGUGGAAGAUUUUCUCUGAGAGUUUCAAGGCCCCAGAACCUCAGAGUCAAAAAUCCCUGGAAACAAAGUCCAGUGUCCUUUUCUUACAAAAGGUCCCUAGGUGAUUUGUUUUCCUUUUGUCAAGUGUGGGAACUUCCUAGAUACGCCAGGUAUCAAACAAGUGUGUUCAAAGAACCCAAUGAAAGGGAACUUGCAUAUUUAUAUGAGUGAGUGUAUAUGAGCAUGGGCCCCCAAAGCUAAGUGCACACAGCUCAGUUGUGAACACACACAGUUAUAGGUCCCGGCUAGGAACUGUCUUAGAGAUGCUCUUUGUCCUAAUUCAUUUCUUGCCCUACAGAGUGAAAACGUAAGUUGUGUGUACCAGGCCUACCAGCUGCCCACAUCUUAUCUUUUCUGUUCUAAAGUCUCCGUGCGCUCUUUUCAUUCCCUAAUCAUUGUGAGUGACCUUCACUGAACAGCCUUCACUUUCAUUAUGACGUUGUUGAGGUUUGGUGGCCAGGACCGAGACGACCCGUGGUAUUUCUGGAGCAGAGGAAUUCUGGCGUCGCCACAAUACAUCUGACGGACCUCUUCAGGGAAUGGCCUGCAGUGAUGCCAUCUUCCUUUUCCUGGAUCACGUCUCCACCCGGAGACCCCGGUCUCUGCAGGAUGAGGAGAAAGUCAAGGUCAUCUUCAUCUACCUAAGGAGACCAGCCUGUGCUACAUGAGAUCCUGUCAUAAAAAUCAAAGCGGAGAUGGAGAUGGAGGAAGGAAGAAGGAGAGGAAACGAGAACGCAUUUGAAGAGUGAAUUUUUGAAUUUCUGAUCCUCCUGAAUCCAUAUCACGAAUAUUAAGAUCACAGGCAUGCUCUCUUUACCCAGACUACACCCAGAGUUUCUUGCAUGCAGUCUACCUACUGAGCUACACCCGCAACAGCUGGACAAAUAUAAAGGCGUUGGCAUAAAUGUAUAGCAAGUUCUGGCAUUUUUAGCGUCAUCUGGAAUUUAUAUCACUAUCUGCAAAAUGAUAAUGUUGAACAAUAAAUGUGGCUUUUA